GUAGUAGUAGUAGUAGUAGUAGUAGUAGUAGUAGUAGUAGUAGUUUUUGCGAGCCCUUAAUCUGCAUUUUAUGAGCCCUGGCGCUACUUAAAAAGCCCUCAUGCUACUUCACGCGCCCUUAUGCUGCAAUUUGAGCCCUCAUGCUGCAAUUUGAGCCCGUUUGUUGGCAGCAUAAGGGCUCUCUGCGCCCUUAUGUCACGGGCUUUAUUUGUGAAAGUAAUCGAGUUUAUGUUGUGAUUUAGAACUAUAACAUUUAAUAAGUAUGCGUACAUAUAAUAUAGCAUUAUUUAGGAUCUCAAAUCAGACUUUUAUUUGAUUAUGAUAACAUAAAGAUAAUAAUUAUUUAUGGUUUUAUUUCUUAACUAUGUGGUACUUUUUUAUCUGUUUUUAAAUUAAGCCAAUAUUUAAUAAUUUUAUUUAUUUGUCCAAGCAUUAUUAUUAGUAACAUUAACAUGAAACCAUUUUAAAAGCAUUUUAUAUUGAUCAAGAGUGUUUCAACUAAACUUUUUUCAAAUUUUAUUUUAAAUCAUUAUAGGACUUUUAUAUUGUAAAUGGUUCCUGCUUAUCCAAAGCUCCUUCUAAUAUAUUCAAUAUGUUAUAUAAUUUUUUAAAAUACUUUGGAAUAAAAGAGUAUGAUUAAGAAAAUGAUUAGGUUGUUUUCAUCUUCGUUUAAUUAAUUUUAUUUAUUUUUCUAAAACACUUUUAUUUCAGUUUAGUUUCAGUUUAAUUAAAAUGAAUACUUGUUCCAUUUGUCAACUAACCUCAUUUACAAGUUUAUCCUGUGCUUUAUGUACAAAAAUUGUUGGCACCAAAUGUCAAGGUAUUAGAAUCAAUGAAUACAAUGUGUGAAUACAAUGCUGUGUAUAAAACUUGUACAGGUCCAGCUAUAAACCCCUGGUAAACCUUAUAAUUUUGCCAGAACCAGAUAACGUUUAAUACAAAAGUCGCAUUCAUAUCUAAAAACAGGUAACGUGACACCAGGUUUUUAAACAGGUGAGUUUUAUCGCAUUUAUUUCAAUUUUAUUUUAUUAAUGAUUGUUUUAUUUAACUAAUUUUUGUUUCGUAAAUACCUAAUAUUUACCAUUCAAAUUUAAAUAUUUUUUGUAAAUAAAACAUUAAAUCAUCGGAUUUAGUUGAUGAACCUAUUGAACCUCGGAUUUAGUUGAUGAACCUAUUGUCUACUGUUGAAACAUGAUUUGAUUCAGUCAAUUUUUAUUAUUUGAAUUUUACUGUAUUAAUCAUUAGUCAACAGUUAGCGAGAAACUGGUGCUCUACGUAAUUGAGAUUAAUUGAUGAACAUUUCAAUCGUCACCGAAAAUUGAAUUUUCCUGUUUGUUGCAGGCUUGUUUUCCUUUAAUUAGGAGUAUGGUAGACUUAAAGAAGCAGUUCAUAUCUAAACGACACAAACUGUCAAAAGCAAGAGAAAUAAAGAAAAAAAGAGUUUUAUAGCGACAGAACUUAUUUUAAUUGAAUAAAUGUUCAAAACUUUAGUUUAGAAAAUAUAUUUUUUAUGCAUAAUGUUGUA
rnacentral:lncRNA from 1 species